AUCAGUGGCGAACGGGUGAGUAACACGUGAGUAACCUGCCCCAGACUCUGGGAUAACUCCGAGAAAUCGGUGCUAAUACCGGAUACGAGACGAACAGGCAUCUGUAGCGUCUGGAAAGAAUUUUGGUCUGGGAUGGACUCGCGGCCUAUCAGUUAGUUGGUGAGGUAACGGCUCACCAAGACGACGACGGGUAGCCGGCCUGAGAGGGCGACCGGCCACACUGGGACUGAGACACGGCCCAGACUCCUACGGGAGGCAGCAGUGGGGAAUAUUGCACAAUGGGCGAAAGCCUGAUGCAGCGACGCCGCGUGGGGGAUGAAGGCCUUCGGGUUGUAAACCCCUUUCAGCAGGGAAGAAGCGAAAGUGACGGUACCUGCAGAAGAAGCGCCGGCUAACUACGUGCCAGCAGCCGCGGUAAUACGUAGGGCGCAAGCGUUGUCCGGAAUUAUUGGGCGUAAAGAGCUCGUAGGCGGUUUGUCGCGUCUGCUGUGAAAGCCCGAGGCUCAACCUCGGGUCUGCAGUGGGUACGGGCAGACUAGAGUGCGGUAGGGGAGACUGGAAUUCCUGGUGUAGCGGUGGAAUGCGCAGAUAUCAGGAGGAACACCGAUGGCGAAGGCAGGUCUCUGGGCCGCAACUGACGCUGAGGAGCGAAAGCAUGGGGAGCGAACAGGAUUAGAUACCCUGGUAGUCCAUGCCGUAAACGUUGGGCACUAGGUGUGGGGCUCAUUCCACGAGUUCCGUGCCGCAGCU
rnacentral:rRNA from 1 species